GACAGCGUGUCCGAGUGGUUAAGGAGGUGGACUUGAAAUCCACUGGGCUUUGCUCGCGCAGGUUCGAAUCCUGCCGCUGUCG
rnacentral:tRNA from 1 species